UGGGGAAUUUUGGACAAUGGGCGAAAGCCUGAUCCAGCCAUGCCGCGUGCAGGAUGAAGGCCUUCGGGUUGUAAACUGCUUUUGUACGGAACGAAACGGCCUUUUCUAAUAAAGAGGGCUAAUGACGGUACCGUAAGAAUAAGCACCGGCUAACUACGUG
rnacentral:rRNA from 2 species